ACCUACACCACAGCUCACAGCAAUGUCAGAUACUUAACCCACUGAGCAGGGCCAGGGAUCAAACCUGCCUCCUCAUGGAUACUAUUUGGUUCCAUUACUGCUGAGCCACAAUGGGAACUCAUCUCCUGCAAUUUCUGACCUGCCCCGUAAUCAAUAACUACAUCAGUGCCCCAUUCAUUUUAUGGAAUGCUGCUCAACAAAACCCUGGGCUGAGUUCAUUCUGCUCUUGAGGUUUAAUGGUAGUUUUCACAGAUAAAGUGGAAACAUGGCUCUUCUAUUAUUUAAUCUUACCUUUUAGAGCUAGACUUUAUCUAGGAACAGGUUACCUUGGCUAUUGAUUUUAUCUCAGCAAGAUCCUUUACUCAUUAUCUGUCCCUUUGUUUUAGCUGCUGACAAAAUAUUCCUACAGUGUUUCCAUGCUACUAUUUUUUUUUUUUUUUAAAAACAAGUGGCCGCACCUGCGGCAUAUGGAAGUUCCCAGGCUAGAGGUCGAGCCACAGCCACUGUAGAAGCAACGCCGAAUAGUUAUGUUGUGAGCCACACGGGAAGUUCUCCAUGCUACUAUUCUUAUCCUUGAUUCUAGAUCUGAUAUUCAUGACCAUCCAUUCUUCUUGUGGCUUUCACAGUCCAUUUUUCUUAUCCUUUUUUCUUAGGGCUGCACCCAUGGCAUAUGGAAGUUCCCAGGCUAGGGGUCAAAUUAGAGCUGCAGCUGCCAGCCUACACCACAGCAACGUGGGAUCCGAGAUGAGUCUGCAACCUAUACCACAGCUCACAAAAAUGCUGGAUCCCCGACCCACUCAGUGAGGCCAGGAGUUGAACCUGCAUCCUCAUGGAUAAUAGUCAAAUUCUUUUCCACUGUGCCACAACAGGAAUUCCUUCCUAUUCUUUUUUAAUAAACUGCUAAGUGUGAGAGUAAGAUUCUUAGGUUUUAGAUUUCUUGUGAUGUAAAACAUACUAUUCCUUAAAUUAUAUAAAAUUUGCAAAGCUUACCUUAAUUAUGCGGUGAAAUGUAUGUCCAUUAUAAUAACCAUUUCUACUGUGAACACAGAAGUUUUCCACUGUCUUAGGGCACCUAGUAAGACAUAAAAAUAUAAAAUCUAUUCAGAGCAUCUUAGGACAGUUUUCUUUGUAGUUCGGCUUCCUCAUGGUGUUUUCAUUAUCUUCUAAAUAUUUCAGGCCAGUCUUUUUCAUAGUUUUUUCUGAUCUCAGGACAAAUAAAAGUUGACAGGGCAUAUAAGCAGUAGCAUAUUCUUAGUUUAGUAUACUAUCUUAAGAUCAUGACUGCUUGUUAUAUUUAAGUUUGAAAGUAUUUAGAUUCCAAAGUCAUUUAGCAGUUUAAAAAAAUACAAUCAUAGCAACUUAAGAUAUAGUUCACUGCAUAUAGUGGGUUAAGUUCCUGGGAAAGGUAAUUUUUUUUUUAGGGUCACUUGUGUGGCAUAUGGAAGUUCCCAAGCUAGGGGUCAAAUCAGAGCUGCUGCCACCAUGCUACACCACAGCCACAGCAAUGCAGGAUCCAAGCUGCAUGUGCGACCCACACUACAGCUCACAGCAACAGCUGGAUCCUUGACCCAGUGAAGGAGGCCAGGGAUCGAACCUGCAUGCUCAUGGAUACUAGUUGGGUUUGUUACCGCUGAGCCACAACAGGAACUGUGGUUUUUUUUAUAAAAACAAUGUAUAUAGUAUGGUGACAUAUUCCUGACGAAGGACUCAUUCACUGAAAUGAUAGCUUCUAAAUUUAAUAACCCUUAAAUGACAAUCACUCACACACACUUUCUAAAUAUGAACUAAUCUCAUGAGAUAGUUAAAUAUGGUACGUUAUCAUGUAACAGCUCCUAAAGCUGGCAGAGAGAAUCUUGCACCAAGCACUUCAGGGAAUAGGCUUUAUGGAUGCAUGGCUUCUGAAUAUUUAAUGAGAUGGUCGAGGAGUCCAGUUUUUUGUUCAGUAUAAGGUAUGGUAAAACACUGAACAUAAAACAUUUUCAUCCAAAAUAACUAUUUUAAAGUCAAGGUGGUAUAAAAGCUGUUACCUUUUAUAUCAGGAAUAGCCAGCAAUACAGUAUUGAAUUUGGCAUUGUAUGUUUAUUUUGCAACCUUUUAAACUAUCCAGAACAAUUUUUUUCCUUUUUGCAAUGGAAGCUCUUAUGUUUUCUGUUGAAAUUUUUUUCUAAAAUAUAUAACUUGUGAGACUAAAGAGGUAGUAGAUGUCUAGCAAAUGUUAGGAAGGAAAAAUAAUUAUCCUCUUUAAAGAUUUGCUUUGAGAGGAAAGCCAGUUAUAACAAGUGAGCCCCCAAACCUAUAGUUGGGAUGUGUAGUUAAUGGUAGUGGUAAUAUAUAUUUAUAUAUCACUUUAUAGUUUAAUUUCAGCGCUUGCAUUUUGUCCCCACAAACCUGUAAAGUAUGUGUACUGGAGAUGUGUAUAUAUGUGUAAAAAUCUCCCAUUUUCUAGCCUGACAGUUACUGGAAAGCUCAGGAUAGAUGCUCUUACAAAAUUCUUCAACAUUCAAUACUUCAAAAUUCUUAAGUCAAAAUGACAAGAAUUUUAAGUGGCAUAAUUUUUAAAAAUAUACACACAGUGGUGUUUAUUUACAAUAACAAAAACAGUACAUACUCAACAGGAAAGAGUUUGAUGUGAAUGUCUCCCAUGCUUGUGUGGAUAAUAGCACUAUCUGACACUCGUUUAGGUCCCUCAGCUUGAGUAGCUGCCAUGACUUCUUCUUUAGAAGGCCUCUCAUUAAAAACAUCUCGGUCAGAAUCUGCACUUUUUGUAUCUUCAGGUUCUCGUUUAGUAAACUCAAGGAGGAAAAUAAAAAAGCUCUAUCUAAACCCUGAAGCUUGGGAGAAAGAAUGGAAAUUUUGAAUCAAGUUUUAGACAUUUCAGGAUCCUCAGGGUUAAUGGAGAAUUAAGAAAAAUCUUUUAGCUGUUAAAACUUUGGACUUCUAAAGCCCUGUUUCUUUUGACUCUCAGUGAGCAGAAAUGUCUUCCUCCAAGAAAGCUCUAACGAAUGUCAAUUGAGUUCCAGAAGGUAAAGCUAAUGCCCAGGCCCUGCCUAAUGUUAUUCCUUUAUCCACUUGGAUGGAUUCCAAAUAAAGGAACAGCUAAGCUAGGAUGUUAUGGCCUUAUAUAUUCUCCAGUGAUCAAAGGAAUGGCAUGUCUGUUAUACAAUUUAAUUAUAUGAAUUUUUAAAGUUGCGUUGAUUUAGUUCACAUAUGGAACUAUUAAAGUUAAAUUAUGUUAAAUUUUAUUUCAUGAUACUGGAUUUGAAAAAAGGGAUACAAAAUUUGUAUAUAUGUGUACCAUUUUAUUUUUUUAUGUGUACUAUUUUAGUUUUGCUUAAGAAUAUAUAUAUCUACAUCUAAUAAAACAAAAAUAAUUCAUGAAAAUGCUGGAAGAAUAUAUACACACUGAAUAGCUUAAUUUUUUGUUUUUCUAUUUCUUCCAAAGUUUCCAAGGAACAUGUAUGGUUUAAUCAACAACAACAAAAAAAUAAACUCUGGGGAAAGAAAACAAACAAAAACCCAAAUUUUUUAAUAAAGUGAAUGGAAAAUUAGUAUAUGUGUUUUUAGUUUACAUCAAGAAUUGUAUUUAUGAUUUAUUUUUACCUUCAAAAGAGUUAAAUUACAGGUAAAAACAAGAUUUAUUAAUUAAAUAUUUGUUAAUAUGUUAUUUUCCUUUAACGUAUAUUAAUAAAUCUUUAGCAAUGACUUUGAGAGCUAUAAGCAAAAUUCUCAUCUUAAAAGAAUGUAUCCAUUUUAGGUUAAAAGUUUGGUUGGGGUAGAUAAACUGCUAUUUCCUACACUUAUCAAAUGCUGGUAACCUUCACAGCAUCACAGCUGCUUAUAAUAUAUCACAUGAAUGAAUAAGUAUACUAUAGUGGGUCAGGCAUUUUAUAGUAAUGAAGAAAAUAUUGUGCCCUAUAUUUAUGGAUUUUAUAUUAUCUUGAGGAGAGGACAGUAUCAGAAAAAAAAAGUUAGCAAAUUAUUUUAAAAAAGGGUGACACAUAACACCAGCAGGCAAACCCAAUCCAGACCUGAUGUCAAGAGAAGGCUUCCAAGCUGAGACCUGAAGUCUGAGCAGGAACUGGGGAGAGGUGUAUGUAUGGCUGGCAGAAGGAACAACGUGAGUAAAAAGAACACUCAACUCUUCCAAAUGGGAUCAAAUUCAGUAUGGUCAGUAUGGUAAAUAAACUAAAACUGAGCAUGGCUUAAUGUAGAUAGCUGGGGAGUCAUUAAAGAAUUUUAGGAAGAGAAUCUCAUUUGGGUCUUAGAAAGUCUAUGAGGGGUGAAGGAUAGAAUACAAGUGCAGAAGUCUCUACACUUCAGACUUUCCUGCUUGGCUGAACAAUUAGAACAGUGCUACUCCUAGACAGCUUAGUAGUUUCAUUUUGAGCCCAGUGUUAGUCAACAUGCAAAGUACUUCUAGUUCUCCAGAAAAGGAAAAAAAAA